GACGAACGCUGGCGGCGUGCUUAACACAUGCAAGUCGAACGGAAAGGCCCUGCUUUUGUGGGGUGCUCGAGUGGCGAACGGGUGAGUAACACGUGAGUAACCUGCCCUUGACUUUGGGAUAACUUCAGGAAACUGGGGCUAAUACCGGAUAGAAGCUCCUGCUGCAUGUUGUGGGUUGGAAAGUUUCGGCGGUUGGGGAUGUACUCGCGGCUUAUCAGCUUGUUGGUGAGGUAGUGGCGUACCAAGGCUUUGACGGGUAGCCGACCUGAGAGGGUGGUCGGCCGCCCGAGAGGUGGGACACCGUCCAGGGGCCUACGGGACGCCGCAGUAUCGUACCGUCGGCAGUGGUCGAAAGCCUGGCACAACGGCGCGGAGCCUGUUGCAAAAACCCUCGGUGCGGAAUGCUCUCUUUCGAGUGGAAAACCACUUUCGCAUGUACCAAGCACGGAUUGACGGUACCGGGUCAGAAAGCCACGGCUAACUACGUG
rnacentral:rRNA from 1 species